GCCCCAUUCGUCUAGUGGCCCAGGACGUAGCCCUCUCAAGGCUAAAACAGGGGUUCGAGUCCCCUAUGGGGCA
rnacentral:tRNA from 2 species